rnacentral:rRNA from 1 species
AUUGAACGCUGGCGGCAUGCCUUACACAUGCAAGUCGAACGGCAGCACGGGAGCAAUCCUGGUGGCGAGUGGCGAACGGGUGAGUAAUAUAUCGGAACGUGCCCGGUCGUGGGGGAUAACGUAGCGAAAGCUACGCUAAUACCGCAUACGAUCUAUGGAUGAAAGCGGGGGAUCGCAAGACCUCGCGCGAUUGGAGCGGCCGAUAUCAGAUUAGGUAGUUGGUGGGGGUAAAGGGCUCACCAAGCCAACGAUCUGUAGCUGGUCUGAGAGGACGACCAGCCACACUGGAACUGAGACACGGUCCAGACUCUACGGGAGGCAGCAGUGGGGAAUUUUGGACAAUGGACG